GCCAUAGCUCAGCAGUAGAGCAUUUGCCCUGCAUGCAGGAGGUCCCAGGUUCAAAUCCCCGCCAGCUCCA